rnacentral:rRNA from 1 species
UACGUAGGUGGCAAGCGUUGUCCGGAUUUAUUGGGCGUAAAGAGCGUGUAGGCGGCCAGACAGGUCCGUUGUGAAAACUAGAGGCUUAACCUCUAGACGUCGAUGGAAACCGUCUGGCUAGAGUCCGGAAGAGGAGAAUGGAAUUCCUGGUGUAGCGGUGAAAUGCGCAGAUAUCAGGAAGAACACCCGUGGCUAAGGCGGUUCUCUAGUACGGUACUGACGCUGAGACGCGAAAGCGUGGGGAGCGAACAGG